GCCCACCACUCCAGCAGCAUAACAUAAGGACUAAGGGUUUAGAGUGAAAACUUAAAAACCCUACUCUCUUUUCCUUUUACAGUUUUGUUCCACUUCCAAGUUCCAAGUUCCAAGUUCCACCGAAGAAGUAGAAGCUUCAAGCCUUCAAGAUCACGUUGGUUUCUCAGUUCUCACAAAGUCACAGUAACAAUGAAGGCUCAAGAACAACCUCAACUCCUCAAGUACAAGAUUGUAAAUUUUGAGAAGAUGAAAAGGACAGUUACAAAGGUUCAAGAUUUGGAGGUUGAACAUUUGGAUCUUCCUAAAUAUAGUUCAGUAACACCAACAUCUGUUGUAACUCAAGCAUAUGGUUGUUGCUAGUUGUUGGAUGUUACAGGUUCCAAGUAUGGUUGUGUUGGACCCAUUUUGCUUGUGAAGAGGAUGUAUUAGGGUGUGUAUGAGGCUGGUAUUGGUUUUUAAAAGGGAAAAUGUUUUCUAAAAUUUAUGAUUCUGUUGGACUGGUAUGUUGGUUUGCCGAUGAUGUUCCUUUGAGAUUUCCAAGACCACUAUCUGAACGAAAAUUCAGACUGAAAUAGCUUCAGCAAUAAAGAAAUGCAUUCUAGUUUACUUUAUUUCUAAAAAUUAGAUAAUCGUAGGUGUUUACUAUUGUCCAGUCAUGUUAUCUAUUAUUAAAAUUAGCUCAAACUUUGCUUGACAUACUCUGGGUGCAACAAAAUCUAAACUUACUAGGCAUUUACUUAUGUUUCACUGUGUCGACAAUACUAGGCAUUUACUUCUGUUUAGUCAUAUUAUUUAUCAUUAGGCUGAUUUCAAGGAAAUCUAAAUAUCGCUUUUCUUGUUAUUGUAUCCCCGUGCAUGACAGUGUGGAUGUGUAUUGAGUUGCACUA